GAUUUCUAUUGAAAAAGUCAUCAGCAACAAUGUGGUAAAACUCAUCAAGAUCUAUAACUUUUAUUUUGGUCAUUUCUUCAUCCGACAAAGUGAUUUGUAACAUUGCUCACAAAAUGUACAUAUCUCUUAUAUGGUUUUAUAAACUAUAACAAUGAGGCAAAUUUUGUAAAAAUAUUACUAUCACCUUGUAAGAUGAAGAAAUGACCAAAAUAGAAGUUAUAGAUCUUGAUGAGUUAUACAACUUUGUUGUUGAUGACCUGUUCAACUGAAAUC
rnacentral:pre_miRNA from 1 species